ACAAGGGUAGAGCCAUAUAAAACUAAGGAGAAACCAUUUUAGGAUGAGGGAACAAACCCUGAAGGUGUGAACAAGCUCGGUGCAUCUAGACAUGUAAGGAAGGUUCCAGCAUGUGAAGGAGCGAGGACGGAGAAGGGUCCGGUGAGGUCUUACAGCAACAGAGGGUCCAGCCACAUGAGGCUGAGCAGCCAAGUGAUCUGCCUAGGCCAGCUCCCCUUCAUCUUCUGCCAUGAGUGGAAGCAGCCUGAGGCCCUCACCAGAAGCAGAUGUUGGCACUAUGCUUCUUAGACAGCCUGCAAAACUCUGGGAAAGCGGAAAUCUGGAGAACUAAAAUAUCUUGCUGAAGAUCACAAUGCAGUAAAGCAUAGGGCAAGUUUCCAACUCGAACAUCACCCCAGAACACUUCCUUUUAAACAUAAAUUAUGUUGCUAACUUUUUUAUUGUUACUUAGCAGGCAGAUUUCAAACUGAUACAAAUGUUGAAAAUGAUACAAAAUGUUUUCCCACCUUAAAGGCAUUCUGAAACCUAGCACAUAACAUCUGUCACUGAAGUCCAUAGUUUCCAAUGCCAUGAUUGGAUAAAGACCCUAUUGAGACUCAUGUGUUUGUCUCUCACUGCUUAAAACACUCAUGUGUUUUAAGCAACAUGACAAGCACAAAAGAGAACAAGUACUGCUCCUGCUCUCCAGGAAGUUACCAUAAAAUAAAGGGGAUAAGGUGCCUUCCAAAGAAAAAACAAAUACUAGGAGAGGUCAGAGGAGAAGAGAGAUUAUUCCAGAAGGAGAGACUGAGGCAGAUUUCAGGAGGGAAGAAUAUAAGAGUCCCAAAAGAAGAAACAGGAACCCAGGUUAGAGAGCAAUGGGCAAGGGGUAGGAGGUGAGACUAAACUCACAAGGAAGUUGCUUCAAAACAAUAGUGCCCCAAAUGCCAAGCUGAUGGGUUGGACCCAUUUAGGAAAAACCCACAAAGUCCACAGGAGAGCAGACUGCACUUCCAUGAGCUUCAAGCUGUAAACAGUAACCUCAAAUAAAACUUUUCCCGGAUCGGUAAUUUCCAUCCUGAACAAUGGCCAAGUCAAGGAAGCUGAGGAUCGAGCCCCCUACCGCAUGCCACAAAGAACCUCAAGGGACCCCAUGCUCUGGGGAGCUCGCAGGAGGACCAGCACAGAGGUGUGACUGCGUUGGGGCAGGGUGGCCACAUGUACAAUGUUGUACCUUCCAAUGUUCCUCCUUAGGCUGUGCUUAUGAAGUCCCAACAUGUCUUCUGGGCUGUGUUUUCAACCAAGAGAGUUAAUAAAAAGUGGGAUGGGCACCAACUAUGCCUCCAGAGACAUCAGGCAGAAUAUGCCACAGCGUGCCAUGUCCUCCUGCAAACAGUCAGAAAGAAAAGAUCUCUAAAAGCAGAUUGGAAGAGACUAUAUAUACAGAGCGAGUGCCGGUACAGAAGUUUUGCUGCAAAUACACCCUCUAAUCCCUUGCAACCCACUGCAAGCUCGAGAGACCAGUGCCCUUGGUAAAACAUAGGAGAGAUCAUUAAUUAAAGCCUAGGCCCUUUCUUUGAUCCUGAGGGAUAAGGCUUGGGAAAAUGCACAGUGAUAAAAGUGAACAUUUUAAAAGAGCAGAGUGAGUGUGAAUUCCCAAAGAGACCAUUCAUAUCAAGACCCAAGCCAUGAGAAAAUGCUACAAUGCCCUUGAUCAAUACUUUAUAGGCAUUUUGACCUCAGAUCUAAUCCCAUGAGGCUUAGACCAAGACCUUGCUUGAUGCAGACCUCUCUGACUGCUGAAAUUGGUCAGGAGCUCAGUGAUGAAAAUUUGGAAAGUCAAUGCUGAUACCUGAAGAAAGUCCCAUCAGAGAUCUGUGACCUGAAUCUUCAUAACUUUCACAGGCCCUUUCUAAAUGCCAAGGAGGAUGUGUGUGGAGAAGAAUAUGCCACCUAUGGCAUCCCAAUAUGCCUGUGCCCGCCUGCUCUUCAACAAGGGAAUGAAACCUGGGUAUUCUCAUAGGUUUUUUAAAGCACUUGUCCACAUAUUUUAUUCCGCAAAUAACACAAUUUAAAAUUCAGCUAGAAUUUGCCAUUUUCUGUCAGGGUUGUGCAUUUCUUCCAGUCACCAUGACUUCCUGAGAUAGCCAAAACACAAAAUUUAAAUUGUGUUUAAAUUAAAUAAACACAAUUUAUGCUGAAGCUGACUUUACCCACUCUGUUCCAACAUUACUUAUCCUCAGCAUCUCUGAAUUCAAAUAUCAGCCAGGUGUGGUGGCUCAUACCUGUAAGCCCAGCACUUUGGCAAGCCAAGAUGGGAAGGUUGCUUGAGGAGUUGGAGACCAGCCUGGGCAACAUAGCAAGACCCCCAUCUCUACAAAAAAAUUAAAAAAUUAGCCAGGCAUGGUGGUAUGCACCUUUAGUCCUAGCUACUUGGGAGGCUGAGGUGAGAAGAUCACUUGAGCCCAGGAGCUUGAGGUGGCAGUGAGUCAUGAUCAUACCACUGCACUGUAGCCUGAGCAACAGAGCAAGACCCCAUCCCUUAAAAAAAAUACCUGCCCUCUGUACUUCAUAGCACCUGGGGCAUUUUGAACAGUUCUUCCUUCACCUGAGGUCAUUAUUUGAGAAUCCAAUUUUAGAGACUACAAUGCUCUCAUUACUUGGAUUGUAUCAUUUAAUCUUCCCAACAAUCCAGGAAGGGGAGUCUCUUAAUGAUUGUCCUUGAUUUCCAGUUAAAAAAUCUAGACCCAGAGGUAACCUUGUGAAGGUCACAGAGUUUCAGAGUUCUAAGAUCCCAUGCGAGAUUGCUGAACUUGAACUUGUUUCUUCUGAUCUCAUGUCAAUAAGUGACUUAGUCAACACCUGGGUAGAAAUCAUCACUAAAGUGAGAAAGCACAUGGUGAGGGGGAUGAAUCCUGUGCCCACAUGGUCCCUUUCACCUGCCCAAUCCUCAGGCCUCUCACCUGGGGUACCCCUCACACACAUGGCACUUUCCUGAACUCAUGGACAUUUCAGUUUGUAACGAUCCUCCUAAGAUUAUCUACUUUCACCUAUCCACAUUUGAACUAUACUUCUUUAGUGGAAAAAAAGAAAUAAAGCCAGUGCUGAGAAUGAUCAAACUCCAGAAA
rnacentral:lncRNA from 10 species